GAUGAACGCUGGCGGCGUGCCUAAUACAUGCAAGUCGAGCGAAUGGAUUAAGAGCUUGCUCUUAUGAAGUUAGCGGCGGACGGGUGAGUAACACGUGGGUAACCUGCCCAUAAGACUGGGAUAACUCCGGGAAACCGGGGCUAAUCCCGGAUAACAUUUUGAACCGCAUGGUUCGAAAUUGAAAGGCGGCUUCGGCUGUCACUUAUGGAUGGACCCGGGUCGCAUUAGCUAGUUGGUGAGGUAACGGCUCACCAAGGCAACGAUGCGUAGCCGACCUGAGAGGGUGAUCGGCCACACUGGGACUGAGACACGGCCCAGACUCCUCCGGGAGGCAGCAGUAGGGAAUCUUCCGCAAUGGACGAAAGUCUGACGGAGCAACGCCGCGUGAGUGAUGAAGGCUUUCGGGUCGUAAAACUCUGUUGUUAGGGAAGAACAAGUGCUAGUUGAAUAAGCUGGCACCUUGACGGUACCUAACCAGAAAGCCACGGCUAACUACGUGCCAGCAGCCGCCGUAA
rnacentral:rRNA from 1 species